rnacentral:rRNA from 1 species
GGAGUCAUGGAGGGUGAGAACCCCGUCUGUGACUCGGAUCCCAUGGUCCUAGUGUCGCGGUCUCCAAGAGUCGGGUUGUUUGGGAAUGCAGCUCAAAAUGGGUGGUAAAUCUCAUCUAAAGCUAAAUAUUGGCGAGAGACCGAUAGCAAACAAGUAGAGUGAUCGAAAGAUGAAAAGCACUUUGAAAAGAGAGUGAAACAGUACGUGAAAUUGUUGAAAGGGAAGCGUUUGGCAUCAGCCCAUGGCCUCC